rnacentral:rRNA from 1 species
AGUAAUGCAUCGGAACGUAUCCCGUAGUGGGGGAUAACCCGGCGAAAGCCGGGCUAAUACCGCAUAUGCUCUACGGAGGAAAGCGGGGGACUCGCAAGAGCCUCGCGUUAUGGGAGCGGCCGAUGUCCGAUUAGCUAGUUGGUGGGGUAAAGGCUUACCAAGGCAUCGAUCGGUAGCUGGUCUGAGAGGAUGAUCAGCCACACUGGGACUGAGACACGGCCCAG